rnacentral:rRNA from 1 species
GACGAACGCUGGCGGCGUGCUUAACACAUGCAAGUCGAACGAAGAGCGACGGAAGCUUGCUUCUAUCAAUCUUAGUGGCUAACGGGUUGGUAACGCGUAAGCAACCUGCCCUUCAGAGGGGGACAACAGUUGGAAACGACUGCUAAUACCGCAUACGAUCUAACCUCGGCAUCGAGGAUAUAUGAAAGGUGGCCUCUACAUGUAAGCUAUCACUGAAGGAGGGGAUUUCGUCUGAUUAGCUAGUUGGAGGGGUAACGGCCCACCAAGUCGAUGAUCAGUAGCCGCCCUGCGAGGCGGCAAGGCAACACUGGGACGGAGACACGGCCAAGCCUCCUACGGGAGGCAGCAGUGGGGAACAUUCAGCAAUGGCCGCAAGUCUGACGGAGCAACGCUGCGCGAGUGAUGACGGCCUCAGUGCUGUAUAGCUAUGUUAAGCGUGACGAAAGGAAUUCUUGCGAAUAGUGAGAAGGAUUGACGGUACCGGAAUAGAAAGCCACGGCUAACUACGUG